CCUACGGGAGGCAGCAGUGGGGAAUAUUGGGCAAUGGGCGAAAGCCUGACCCAGCAACGCCGCGUGAAGGAAGAAGGCUUUCGGGUUGUAAACUUCUUUUGACAGGGAAGAGCAGAAGACGGUACCUGUCGAAUAAGCCACGGCUAACUACGUGCCAGCAGCCGCGGUAAUACGUGGGUGGCAAGCGUUGUCCGGAUUUACUGGGGGUAAAGGGCGUGUAGCCGGGCUGACAAGUCAGAUGUGAAAUCCGGGGGCUCAACCCCCGAACUGCAUUUGAAACUGUUGGUCUUGAGUAUCGGAGAGGCAGGCGGAAUUCCUAGUGUAGCGGUGAAAUGCGGAGAUAUUAGGAGGAACACCAGUGGCGAAGGCGGCCUGCUGGACGACAACUGACGGUGAGGCGCGAAAGCGUGGGGAGCAAACAGGAUUAGAUACCCCUGUAGUC
rnacentral:rRNA from 1 species